CUUCACUGUCAAACUCUUACAAAUCGAUUGCACAGAAGUCAUUUGAUGUUCUUGCAAUGUUUCCUUAAGUCUCUGAAGUUGUCCACACACUUCAGCAAAGGAUAAUUUACUGUCGAGCAAGACUCUUAAAGGAAACGAAUUAAAAGUAGGAGCCACAAGAGAAACAACUUCAUCAACAGGUACGUCUCUUCCGCUGAUAAUGUUACCAAAGCAAAUGUCUCUGCUAUUAAGCAAAAAAGAUAAUGUUUUAGCCCAACAACAUUGCAAAAACGUUGAUGUAGUAAAUGAAAACC